CUUGUUUUUUUUGGUUUUCUUUUAUUGAAAACGCUAUUUAUCAGUCUGUCAAUACUUAAGCUUUGAAAUUCCAUUGUACUUUCAUUGAUUGGAGUGUACACAGUAUCUGAUACAUACAUCUGUACAUGAUACAAGUGUGUACAAGCAUGUACCUAUUGAUUGAUUGAUGACUGUUAUCUGAUUCCAUCUGUCUACACAAUCUUACCUACACCAGCA
rnacentral:lncRNA from 1 species